UCCGGAUCCCGGCGUAUAUAGACACCAAAAAGUGUUUACCAAAAGGAUGCAGCACCAACCCCAUUCCAGGAAGAGGUCCAGUCUGCCCCGGGUCAGAACCACUUCUACAGCAACUACACAACUGUGUAUGCACUUCUCAUUAUUGAUAGCCAGUCUGAGCCAGAAGACAAAAUGGAGCAAAGCACAGAAUACCUGACUGCGGCGGACUUUGUUGCAGAACUCUCUGCAAAAAUAACAAAUACAUCUUGCAGCAGGUUCAAUAUGAAUAGAGCCAAUGUGUGGGAUGGAGCAAUCCGCGGCUUCAAAGGUGGCUCAUUCGAUCCCUCAUGAGACGUCAGUUAAGUUCACUGAUGAUGAGGGACAAACUGAGGAUGGAGGGGACACUGGUGGUCCCAAGCGUGAGUUCCUGACCCUCCUUAUGGAACGCCUGAGAAUGAAGAAAACAUCACGUCAGCAACUGUUUGUGCCCCAUGGCGGUGUGACUUUCCCAGCCGCUCACUGUCUCAAAAUCUGAUUCUAAAUGUAUAAUGUUCUCUAUAAAGAUACAACUAAUACACAAUUAUGAAUGUAUAAUAUAAGCUGUUUUGUGUAUUUAA